AAGAAAGAUGAGAGGAGACAAGAAAGGAAGGAACAGAGGAGGCGUUGCCAUCUUAAGAGGGACAUGGGAGGAGUAUGCAUCGUCACUGAACUGUUCCAAGCAACACCACUGCUACUGACAGAGCAACCACAAGUCAUCAAUAAAGACAAGCCUUCUCCAGCCUUCGGAACUGGAUGGGCUAAACAUUAAAGGCAUACCUUCAGUUGACAAGACCUGUAUGUUUCAUAGUGGGAAUAAAAAAAAGUCAGUGAAA